UACGUAGGGUGCAAGCGUUGUCCGGAAUUAUUGGGCGUAAAGAGCUCGUAGGCGGCUUGUCGCGUCGGCUGUGAAAACCUGGGGCUCAACCCCGGGCCUGCAGCCGAUACGGGCAAGCUAGAAUUCGGUAGGGGAGACUGGAAUUCCUGGUGUAGCGGUGAAAUGCGCAGAUAUCAGGAGGAACACCGGUGGCGAAGGCGGGUCUCUGGGCCGAUAUUGACGCUGAGGAGCGAAAGCGUGGGAGCAAACAGG
rnacentral:rRNA from 1 species